GAUGAACGCUAGCUACAGGCUUAACACAUGCAAGUCGAGGGGUAACGAGAGGAAAGCUUGCUUUCCUUGUCGACGACCGGCGCACGGGUGAGUAACGCGUAUCCAACCUGCCCCCAACUAGGGAAUAACCUUGCGAAAGUAAGACUAAUACCCUAUAAUUUCCUCAGAUGUCAUCUGACGAGGAAUAAAGAUUUAUCGGUUGUGGAUGGGGAUGCGUCUGAUUAGCUUGUUGGCGGGGUAACGUCCCACCAAGGCAACGAUCAGUAGGGGUUUUGAGAGGAAGGUCCCCCACAUGUGAGCUGAGACACGGUCCAAAAUCCGACGUGAGGCAGCAGUGAGGAAUAUUGGUCAAUGAGCGGAAGCCUGAAGCAGCCAAGUAGCGUGCAGGAUGACGGCCCUAUGGGUUGUAAACUGCUUUUAUACAGAAAUAAAGUUAGCCACGUGUGGUUAUUUGUAGGUACUGUAUGAAUAAGGACCGGCUAAUUCCGUGCCAGCCGCCGCGGUAA
rnacentral:rRNA from 1 species